rnacentral:rRNA from 1 species
AUACGGAGGGUGCAAGCGUUAUUCGGAAUCACUGGGCGUAAAGGGUGCGUAGGCGGUUUGAUAAGUCUGAUGUGAAAUCCUAUGGCUCAACCAUAGAACUGCAUUGGAAACUGUCAGACUAGAAUACUGAAGGGGCAGAUGGAAUUAGUGGUGUAGGGGUAAAAUCCGUAGAUAUCACUAGGAAUACCGAAAGCGAAAGCGAUCUGCUGGGAAGUUAUUGACGCUGAGGCACGAAAGCGUGGGGAGCAAACGGGAUUAGAAACCCUGUAGUCC